GAGUUUGAUCGUGGCUCAGAACGAACGCUGGCGGCGUGGAUAAGACAUGCAAGUCGAACGGGAGAAUUGCUAGCUUGCUAAUAAUUCUCUAGCGGCGCACGGGUGAGUAACACGUGAGUAACCUGCCCCCGAGAGCGGGAUAGCCCUGGGAAACUGGGAUUAAUACCGCAUAGUAUCGAAAGAUUAAAGCAGCAAUGCGCUU
rnacentral:rRNA from 1 species